UGAGAUUCCGGCCUCUGUCUCCCAGGGGGAGAGGCAGCCGAACAGGACAGCCGGUAACACCAUGUCUGUGAGUGGCAGUAAGAUGGCACCAUCCCUCACUCAGGAGAUCCUCAGCUACCUGGGCCUGGCCAGCAAGACUGCAGCGUGGGGGACCCUGGGCACCCUCAGGACCUUCCUGAGCUUCAGCGUGGACAAGGAUGUGCGGAGGCUGCUGAGGGCCAUUACCGGCCAAGGUGUGGACUGCCGUGCCAUUGUAGAGGUGCUGACCAACCGGAGCAGAGAGCAAAGGCAGCUCAUCGCUCGAGCUUUCCAGGAGCGCACCCAGCAGGACCUGCUGAAGUCCCUACAGGCAGCGCUUUCCGGCAACCUGGAGAGGAUCGUGGUGGCUCUGCUGCAGCCUGCAGCCCAGCUUGAUGCCCAGGAAUUGAGGACAGGGCUGAAGGCCUCAAAUUCUGCUGUGGAUGUGGCCAUUGAAAUUCUUGCCACCCGAACCCCACCCCAGCUGCAGGAGUGCCUGGCAGUCUACAAACACGAUUUCCAGGUGGAGGCCGUGGAUGACAUCACAUCUGAGAGCAGUGGCAUCUUGAGGGACCUGCUCCUGGUCCUGGCAAAGGGGGGCCGUGACAGCUACUCUGGAAUCAUUGACUAUAAUCUGGCAGAACAAGAUGUCCAGGCACUGCAGCAGACAGGACCCAGCACAGAGAAGACAUGGGUCCUACUCUUUACCCAGCGAAAUCCUGAACACCUCAUCCGAGUGUUUGAUCAGUACCAGCGGAGCACUGGGCAAGAGCUGGAGGAGGCUGUCCAGAACCGUUUCCAUGGAGAUGCCCAGGUGGCUCUGCUCGGCCUAGCUUCAGUGAUCAAGAACACACCGCUGUACUUUGCUGACAAACUUCACCAAGCCCUCCAGAUGGCAAAACUGAAGCAUAGAGAAGUUAAGCACCUUGCUUGAGGUCACAUAGCUAGUAAGUCAUACGGUCUCCCUACACAACACGUAAUGAUAGAAGACAUUUACAGUCCUGUGUCCACUCCUUGUCACCUAUACCAUAAGUGCUCUUAGCACCCAAGGCCCCCUUUCUCCACACUGGUCAGAUUUUGUUCCACAUUAUCCAUCUUUUUUGUUUGUUUUUUCGAGACAGAGUUUUGCUCUUGUCACCCAGGCUGGACUGCAGUGGGACAAUCUCAACUCACAGCAAUCUCCACCUCCUGGGUUCAAGCGAUUCUCCUGCCUCCACCUUCCAAGUAGCUGGGACUACAGGCACCUGCCUCCAUGCUCAGCUAAUUUUUUUUUAUUUUUAGUAGAGACAGUGUUUCACCAUGUUGGUCAGAGUGGUCUUGAACUCCUGACCUCAGGUGAUCCACCUGCCUUGGCCUCCUAAAGUGCUGGGAUUACAGGCGUGAGCCACUGUACCCACCCCAUAUUAUCCAUACUUAAAUUGGUGACCGUGGCUUGAGUAGUUCCACCAAUAGAAUCCAGUCAUUCUGUUGAUUGAAUUAGGUCUUCUUUUUUUUUUUUUUUUUUUUUUUUUUUGAGACAGAGUUUCGCUCUUGUUACCCAGGCUGGAGUGCAAUGGUGCGAUCUCGGCUCACCGCAACCUCCGCCUCCCGGGUUCAGGCAAUUCUCCUGCCUCAGCCUCCUGAGUAGCUGGGAUUACAGGCACGCGCCACCAUGCCCAGCUAAUUUUUUGUAUUUUUAGUAGAGCUGGGGUUUCACCAUGUUGACCAGGAUGGUCUCGAUCUCUUGACCUCGUGAUCCACCUGCCUCGGCCUCCCAAAGUGCUGGGAUUACAGGCGUGAGCCACUGUGCCAGGCGUUUUUUUUUUGAAGUGGAGUCUCACUCUGUCACCCAGGCUGCAGAGCAGUAUCGUGAUCUCAUUUCACUGUAACCUCCGCCUCCCAGAUUCAAGAGAUUCACCUGCCUCAGCAUCCCAAGUAGCUGGGAUUCCAGGCACGUGCCACCACACCCGUGUAAUUUUUGUAUAUUUUUAGUAGAGACAGGGUUUCAUCAUAUUUGCUGGUCUCAAACUCCUGAUCUCAUGAUCCACCUACUUCGGCCUCCCAAAGUGCUGGGAUUAUAGGCAUGAGCCACCACAACCAGCCAAAACCCACACUGUUGAAUAUAGAUGAGAGAUUUAUCUUAGAAGUAGUAGUCAGGGGCCAAGCAUGGUGGCUUCUGCCUAUAAUCCCAGCACUUUGGGAGGCCAAGGUGGGAGGAUCACUUGAAGUCAGAAGUUCAAGACCAGCCUAGGGGACAUAGCAAGACCACGUCUCUACAAAAAUAAAAAGAAAAUUGGCCAGGCAUGGUGGAACGUGCCUCUACUACCAACUACUUGGGAGGUUGUAGUAGGAGGAUUGCUUGAACCCAGGAAUUCAAAAUUACAUUGAGCUAUGAUUAUUCCACUGCACUCCAGCCUGGGUGAUAGAGCAAGACCCUGUCUCAAAAGAAGAGAGGAGGAAGAGGAAGAGGCAGAGGGAGAAAUAGUAGUCAGACAAUAACAUACAUCAAUUAUUCUGAAUCUUUUAUUUUUUUGAGAUGGAAUUUCACACUGUUGCCCAGACUGGAAUGCAGUGGCCUGAUUAUGACUCACUGCAACCUCCACCUCCCAGGUUCCAGCAAUUCUCUUGCCUUGGCCUCCCAAGUAGCUGGGACUACAGGUAUGCACCAACACACCCAACUAAUUUUUGUAUUUUUUAGUAAGACAGGGUUUCAGGCCGGGCACAGUGGCUCACGCCUAUAAUCCCAGCACUUUGGGAGGCCGAGGCGGGUGGAUCACAAGGUCAAGAGAUUGAGACCAUCCUGGUCAACAAGGUGAAACCCCGUCUCUACUAAAAAUACAAAAAUUAGCUGGGCGUGGUGGCGCGUGCCUGUAGUCCCAGCUACUCGGGAGGCUGAGGCAGGAGAAUUGCUUGAACCCAGGAGGCGGAGGUUGCGGUGAGCCGAGAUCGCGCCAUUGCACUCCAGUCUGGGUAACAACAGCAAAACUCCGUCUCAAAAAAAAAAAAAGUAAAGACGGGGUUUCACCAUAUUGACCAGGCUGGUCUCGAACUCCUGACCUUCGAUCCACCCAUGUCGGCCUCCCAAAGUGCUGGGAUUACAGGCAUGAGCCACUGUGCCAGGCCCUGAAUUGUAUUCUACUUCUUUCUUUUUUUUCUUUUUGAGACAGUCUUACUGUUGUUGCCCAGGCUGGGGUACAAUGGCACAAUCUCAGCUCACUACAACCUCUGCCUCCCAGGGUCUCCUGCCUCAGCCUCCUGAAUAGCUGAGAUUACAGGCCCUUGCCACUAUGUCCUGCCAAUUUUUGUAUUUUUAGUAGAGAAAGGGUUUCACCAUGUUGGCCAGGCUAGUCUUGAACUCCUGACCUCAGGUGAUCCACCCGCCUUGGCCUCCCAAAGUGCUGGGUUUACAGGCGUGAGCCACCAUACCUGGCCUGUAUUAUUAUUAUUAUUUUUUGUAUUAUUCUUUUAUAAGGGAUAUGUAGAUAUAGGAAAACAGAUCGUGAAGAAUAUUUAUUCAGAAAAACGGCCUUCAGAAAAUCAGCAAUGGCUGAUUCAGGACAAAAUUUGGACCAAUCUGUAGUAAAAAUGAAUGUUCCUAGGGAAGAUCCUGGGGCCAUAUUGCAAUGCCAAGUAUAUGAUUAAGUAUUGUAAUUAUAAUUAGGCCAGGCACCGUGGCUCAUGCCUGUAAUCCCAGCACUUUGGGAGGCCGAGGCAGGUGAAUCACCUGAGGUCAGGAGUUCGAGACCAGCCUGACCAACAUGGUGAAAACCCAUCUCUACUAAAUAUACAAUAAUUAGCCAGGCAUGGUGGUAUGUACUUGUAGUCCCAGCUACUCGAGAGGCUGAGACAGGAGAAUCACUUGAACUCGGGAGGUAAAGUUUACAGUGAGCCGAGAUCACGUCACUGCACUCCAGCCUGGGUGACAGAGCAAGACCCCAUCUCAAAAAAAAAAAUUAUUAUAUUUAAUACAGCUUUGGUGUAAAGGGUACUUGUGGCUGGGCACAGUGGCUCAUGCCUGUAAUUUCAGCACUUUGGGAGGCCCAGGUGGGUGGCUUGCUUGAGUCCAGGAGUUUGAGACCAGCUUGGGCAACAUAGUGAAACCCCAUCUCUACUAAAAAUACAAAAAUCAGCUGGGUGUGGUGGUGGUCACCUAUCAUCCCAGCUAUUCAGGGGGCUGAGGCAGGAGACUCACCUCACCCGGGAGGUGGAGGUGGCAGUAAGCUGAGAUCACGCCACUGCACUCCAGCCUGGCGACAGAGAGAGAAACGGAGUACUUGUACGACAAUGAGAGUGUUCAGUCGAUGAGUGAUUCUUGCCCCAAUUCUGUAAUUUAGAGUAACAAGAGUUAGAAGAAUGGACACUGGGGAGCAACUGGCAGUCUUUACAACAAUACAAAACUAACGAUGCAUGGAAGUUAGUAAACGUUAGGCCCACUGGCAAUCAGGUAAUGAGUCCAAAUGAAUUGGAGCAUCCUGUUUUACUUCAUUUUCUUUUGUUUGUCAAAGGAGUUUGCCAUCUGUGAGGAUACCUAAGUGUGUGUUAUGGGCAUUUCUGGGAAGAGUCUUGUGAGCAAAGUGACUCAGGAAACUCUGAAAAUGAGGGUGUUGGGAAUUGGUGACAACCCUGGUGCACAGAAAAAAAACAGCAAUUUCGCACUUAAGUUUUUAUUUAGAAAUCUCUCAUGACAACACAUCAUUUAGUAUAAUCAAUUAUAAUUCAGGAUUUUGAUAACUUGUACCUCUGUUAUUUUAUUUAUUUAUUUAUUUAUUUAUUUUUCGAGAUGGAGUCUUGCUCUGUCACCCAGGCUGGAGUGCAGUGGCAUGAUCUCAGCUCACUGCAACCUCCGCCUCCCGGGUUCAAGCAAUUCUCCUGCCUCGGCCUCCUGAGUAGCUGGGAUUACAGAUGCCCCCCACCACGCCUGGCUAAUUUUUAUAUUUUUAGUAGAGACAGGGUUUUACCAUGUUGGCCAGGCUGGUCCUGAACUCCUGACCUCGGCCUCCCAAAGUGCUUGGAUUACAGGCAUGAGCCACCACACUUGGCCUGUUAUUUCUUUUCUUUUUAUUUCUUUCUUUUUUUGGGCUGGGGGGUGGGGGACAGAGUUUUGCUCUUGUUGCCCAGGCUGGAGUGCAAUGGCACAAUCUUGGCUCACUACAACUUCCACCUCCCGGGUUUAACCUAUUCUCCUGCUUCAGCCUCCCAAGUAGCUGGGAGUACAGGUGCGCGCCACCAUGCCCAGCUAAUUUUUUGUAUGUUUAGUAGAGACGGGGUUUCACCGUGUUACCAAGAAUGGUCUCGAUCGCCUGACCUCGUGAUCUACCCGCCUCAGACUCCCAAAGUGCUGGGAUUACAGGUGUGAGCCACCAGGCCCGGCGUGUUAUUUUUAAACUGAACCUUUCAUUAUUUAGCCAAAAAGUGGAGGGCUGCUGCAUGUACAGGGGGAAAUAGCAGUGUCGAACACUAAGGAUUCAGCAUGGAGAACCUGACAUGCAGAGAUGGGCCUGAGAGACGGCCCUAUAGGGUCAGAAUCAGAACCAGAUGUCACACAGCCUUGAUCCUUAUCAGAGCCCCAUCAGCUCAGGUUUGUCCUCCUCGGAUAGUCACUGACUUGAAAGUUUAAACAAGUGUUCCUGGUUUUCCUGCUGGCAGUCUUUAUAUGCACCGAGUCUAUUCCAGCCUUUCUGGUGUACCUGUCUUCAGAGCUGCUCACCACUAAAUUGUGGGGGUGCACGGCUCUCAGCUAAUGGCAGGGCCAGGAAAAACACGUGGAAGGAAGGAGAGAAAUAAAUACUCAAGCUGCCUUCACAGAGACUGACCCUUCCUGCUGUUAUCUUUCACGAGGAUAGACAAAGAUAACUUUGGUCCGAGAUAAUGUAUAAUGUAUACUCCUAUGACUCCCACCUUGCCUCCCCUUCCUACAAGAACCCUCCCUGCCAUUCAAUCCCUACUCUCAGUGAGAGUCUCACUAAUUACCCCGCCAUCUGUUUCUUCCCCCUACUAGGAAACUGAGCCCAAUUACCAAGUCCUGAUUCGCAUCCUUACCUCUCGAUGUGAGACCGACCUUCUAAGUAUCAGAGCUGAGUUCAAGAAGAAAUUUGGGAAGUCCCUUUACUCUUCUCUCCAGGAUGCAGUGAAAGGGGAUUGCCAGUCA